CUCCUUUCAGGAUCGCACCUGGAGAGUUUCCAAUACUCUACCAGUCCUGGCUAAGGGAGGGCGAGUCAAGCAGAGGCGUACCCACACCAUUCCUAGCUUGGGCAGUGGCUAGUGAGUGGAAGGCAAUCCGCUACAAGU